GCAAUGGGACUCCCUCUUCGUUUGAACCUCUCUCCGAUCUCCCUCUCCCCAUACAUAUACGCCCAAAUCGAAGAUACAUAUGGCAUAUGGAUGGCCAGAGGUCAUACCUCUCGAAUCUGGUCCUUGUCCUUCUUCCGAGCGGAUCAUCUAUUUCAAACUCACCGAUCGCCUCUUGCUCGUUGUCGGUCAUCCCAGCACAUGGUGAAACUGGGGUAGUAGAAGAGAGAUUCAGACUCAAUGCAAAGAGGAGGAGAGAAUAUACAGGCAGUCUGGAGUCCGUAAGCCAAAUUGAUUGCCGUUCUUCAGAGGAAGAGGUAGAGGAAGGGCACUGUGGAAUGGACAGCAGCAGUAUUUCUUGGAUCUUGUCAUCACCCACCUUUAACUGCAGCUAGGGUGGAUUUAUUUGUUCGCUGAUAUGCAGUUUGUUUCUUUUCCUCUUCCUAUAUUGAUUUUUAGAUCUAUCUUUUGGAUCAGCACCAACACUAUGAUGGGCUGCUUGAGCAUCUUGACACGACCACUCCAUUUUCUGGAUUUGGCAUAAAAAAGAUGGGAGAGUCUAAGCAUGCAGUGUGCUCAUCUGCAGAUGGACGACAGACAAUCAAAAACAGCUUUAGAAGAGGGAAAACUCGGAGAUGCAGUCAGUUGUAGGGCGAAGUACUUCUCUGAUUACCAGGCUCUUGCUGUAGUUUUGUAACACACAGGAAACUUUAAUCAGUUUUUUUUUUUUUAAAAAUCCGUUCUUGUUUUUGGUGUUGCUGGGCAUCUUUGAAACAGAAUGAUGAUUCUGCCAACUUUAUCAAAUAUAACCAUUUCUGGGAAUUGUGACUGCUAUCCAUUGUGUUUUUAAUGUUUAUUUACAUCUCUUGUAGAGGAGAAAAUCUAAUGCAAUCAAUCCACUCAUUAGCAAAAGAAGAUUAAAAUGAUAAGGGGAAUCUGAGAGUUGUUAGAGUAAGCGAAAAAUGAGCUUAAACGCCAACAUCUCAAUCCCAAAACAAAGGGAGGGGGAGUGAUGUGGAGUUCCCUUGGAGAGGGGGGAUUUGGUGUUCUAGGACUCCUCACAAAGUGGCAUUCUUUGCUUGGACGGCUGAACAUGUGAAACUAUUUUAACGACUAAUAAUCUUAGUAGGGGUAAAUUUUUGAUGGAUUGUUGUGACAUUUGCAACAAUUCCGGGGAAAAUGUUAACGACACUACAAGACAAACUGCAUAUGGCAGCAUUUAUAAGACAGCGAUUUGUAAAUGCUGCAUAUUAGCCAACGUUUCUGAGAAAAACAUUGUGUUAAAGACCUUCAACCAUGUUUGUAAAACGCCGCAUUUAAGUUGCCGCAAUAGGAUGUCACUUGAACUAGCAAUUAUCAAACCCUAAUCGUGGUGUAAUUGACAGGGGACAUGAACGCGUCACGAUUUAAGUAAGGCCAGAGAAUUCUCUUGCUCUGUUCUCUCUCCACUUUUGUUUCUCUCUCUAACACAUUGUCUUCUCUCUUCUCCCUCUACCCAUCCGUAUUCCAUCUGUGUAAUGACCCUCAUCCUCGUCUUAGCCAUGCUCAUGUGCAUCUGCAUGAUUUUGUUUUGUUAAGCUUGCAUUUGUAGAUUUCGACUUGUUUUACCUAAGUAAAGGUCCCUGUCUUGUUUUGUGCUUGUGUGAUUUACCAUGUGUAUUGCUUGUAUGCUUUGUUCCUUGCUUGGUGUGUGCAGCCUAGGUUCUACCCUUGAACCUCUUAUGCGUAGGACUGUCUUGGAACCAUUUUGGUUGACCUCCACCUUCACCCUGGCAUAUUGGCCGAGAUGUCAUCAUCUAGGCCGAGGUGUGCAUCACCCCAGGCCGAGAUGUUAUCAUCUAGGCAUCCGACAUCCUUGAUCCUUGCACCUAGUGAUCUUGUUCCUGGACUGGUAUAACCUAGGCCGAGGUGUGGCACACUUGGGCCAUGUGUUAUCCUCCCUAACCGAGAUCAUUGAGACCCUUCUUGCCGAAGCCGAUGCUUUAACCUGAGAUCUUCGCCUUGUCAGAAUGCCCUUGUCGCCUUACUUGUCAUACACAUUUUGUCACAUUCUUGUCUUGUCAUUCUGUCACCUUUUUGAGAAGGUCCAACUAGUCGUUGCCACGUGUCCCAGUAGAGGGUUAAGUCAGCCGGCAGAGAGAGGAGUUCUUGAGAGAGAAGUAGAUUUCCAAGCUUGAUCCUUAGAGUUUAAACCGUUUGA